AGAGAAUAAGAAGACAGUGGGUGUUGCCAUGAUGUUUUAGGUGGAGGGGGUUUUCUCUCCCUGGGAAGUUUCCAAAAAAUGCCAGUAAGAAAUUGAAGAUAUUUUAAUGUAUUCUUUUGCCAGCACUGAAUAUCCUUGACCACGAGGAAAACGGAUCAGAGACUGAAACAUGAGUUUCUUGUCUUAAAAAGUUGCAGCUGCCUGUUAAACUGAUUGUGGCUGUGCACAGGAUCUUGUGUGUUUUCACCACUUACUUUGUGGUUCCAGAGUAGAGCACUGAAUAUCCUUGACCACGAGGAAAACGGAUCAGAGACUGAAACAUGAGUUUCUUGUCUUAAAAAGUUGCAGCUGCCUGUUAAACUGAUUGUGGCUGUGCACAGGAUCUUGUGUGUUUUCACCACUUACUUUGUGGUUCCAGAGUAGAG